rnacentral:lncRNA from 1 species
UCUGUAACUUAUAAAAUGGCGGCGUCCACAUGUAUACGUCCUUCCCGGGAUUAGCCAGGCAGCUAGAGGAUGACUUAAUAAGGAGAGUGGAGAAACUGGCCAAUUAAUGAACAUGCCCUGAUCAUUAAUCCACCACUGAAGGAAGUCAGAGCAGAAACUCAAGCAGGGACUUGAAGAAGAAACCAUGGAGGAAUACGGCUUGCUGGCUCACCUAAGGAAGACCACUGAAGCCACCGCAGACAGCAGAACCUCAAUCAGCUUGAAAGAGAAUGGGCUCAACAAAAGAGCAAACUGUCAACAGUGAUGAUGAGGUGCAACAUUCAACUUCACAGUUCUUGGAAUCAGUCUGGGAAUGUAACCCUGGCUGCCUAGAACUGACAGACCUGGAGGAGUGGACUUCCUGGGAUGAAGAUGAGCCCACUAGUGCAUCGAAGGAGGGAAUGGGAUUGUGGCAACACAGCAGAACUCUUUGGAGCAACUGGAACCUGACUACUUCGAGGCCAUAACUCCAACUAUACAGAAAACUCAGAAAAUUGUCAUUAAGAAGAGAGAACCAUUGAAUUUUGGUGUCCCAGAUGGUAGCACAGGUUUUUCCAGUAGAUUGGCAGCUGCACAAGAUAGGCCUUUUAUUCAUCAGUCUUCAAAAUUAGGUGACUUAGAUACGUGGCAAGAAAAUACCAGUGCAUGGGAAGAGGAAGAAGACGCAGCCUGGCAAGCAGAAGAAGUCCUGAAGCAGCAGAAAAUUUCAGACGGAGAGAAGAGACAGCAGAACAACAAAGGAAGAAAACGGAGAAGGAAGCGCAACGCCCUAUAAAGAAGGAGCAAAGCAAAGUCUGUGUGAAGCUUUCCUAACAGGCUUUGUGAGUCUGGGCGCACAGCCUACACGCAAGCAUUUGCAUGCACUGGACAGUAUUCUCAGAAUACAAACACUCUGCUAGAUCUCAGUUUGUUAUUGAGCUAUCCAGGACACCAGGAUUCUCCCAUAAUACCUUGAACUAUUAGGAAUCAAGACUCAAAACACAAAAAUAAUGAGACAAUUAUUUUCUUCAAUGUGUUCCAAAUAGAAGACAAUUGUUUGCUGUAGAGAAGUUAUUUCAAGAGGAAUAUACCUGACAAGUACCUCUCAAGCUAGUGUUUCUAGAUGAACAAAGGGCUGUAAAUAAUUUUAUGGUGGAAAAGUACCCUGCUACUUACUAUGCUUUUGUUCAUUGUACAUAAUUAUAAAAUAAUUUUAAUGAUCAUUUGUUUCCAUGACCGCUUGAUGUAAAUUAGACAAACUGUAGGUAGGGCUUUAUACCCUUCUUAAUUUUGUUUUCAGGUACUGUUGACAUACAUUUUCUAUCAUUUGAACUGGCAUUGUUUGGUACAACAUUAAGGGAUAUGAUGAUUUGGGUUUUUAAGAAAAUAACAUUAAAUGCAAUAAUUUUAUUUAUCAAAAAAAAA